rnacentral:lncRNA from 1 species
AGUGAAGUCAAUGAGAGGGCUAUUAAAUCUUGUUGCACUUGAAUUUUGAAUGGAUCUUCUUGGUGGUUGAAUGUUUUUAUUCUAGCUUAUGAGAUUCUAUGCUUUAAAAUCCUUGUCUCUCGAAUGUUGAUCGACUUAAAUUCUUGAGGUAUGCUUGCUUAAAAUUAUUUUUGGAUGAGUUGAGAUGAGAAUUGAGUGGAGAUUUGGGAUUAGUCUUGAGUUAUAUGCUUGAGGACAAACAUCAUCUUGGUGUGGGGGAAUUUGUUAGAGUGCAAUUUAUGCACUAGUUUUGCAUUGUUUACUUCCCUUAAUAUCGAUGUUUUGCACUUAAUAAUAGUGAUUUACUUGUGUUUUACUUUUGUAGGUGCAAUUCUAUUGAUUGGUGAUAAAAUUGAGAUACAAGAUGAUGUUUAAGGAUGAUUGUUCUCUUGGAGAAAUUAUGAGCGUUAGAAGAACUUUGUUGAUAAG